rnacentral:rRNA from 1 species
CCCUAUUAUUUUAGGAUGUUAAUUUUUGUGCUGGAGUAGUAUUAGUUAUGUUCUUGAAACUUAAAGAAUUUGGCGGUAUCUUAUUCCGUUCAGAGGAAUCUGUCUCGUUAUCGAUAGUCCGCGUUGGACCUUACUUAGUUGCUAUGGUUUGUAUACCGCCGUUUAUUUGAUUAUGCUUUUAGGGUUUUUAAUUUUCUGGUUUCUUUACUUUGGCUUAUUUCAGGUCAAGGUGCAGCUUGUUUCUAAGUGUUAUUGAUGGAUUACAUUGGUCUUUGUUUUUUGGAUUGUUGGUUGAGAUUAUUGAUAUGAAAUUGGAUUUGAUUGUAAUGUUUUGUAGAUUGUUUUCAUGAUAAUUGGUUCUAAGAUAUGUACACAUCGCCCGUCGCUCUCGUUUGUUUUUAAUGAGAUAAGUC